AUUGAACGCUGGCGGCAUGCUUUACACAUGCAAGUCGAACGGUAACAGGCCGCAAGGUGCUGACGAGUGGCGAACGGGUGAGUAAUGCAUCGGAACGUGCCCAGUCGUGGGGGAUAACGCAGCGGAAGCUGUGCUAAUACCGCAUACGAUCUAUGGAUGAAAGCGGGGGACCGUAAGGCCUCGCGCGAUUGGAGCGGCCGAUGUCAGAUUAGCUAGCUGGUGGGGUAAAGGCCCACCAAGGCGACGAUCUGUAGCUGGUCUGAGAGGACGACCAGCCACACUGGGACUGAGACACGGCCCAGACUCCUACGGGAGGCAGCAGUGGGGAAGUUUGGACAAUGGGCGCAAGCCUGAUCCAGCAAUGCCGCGUGCAGGAAGAAGGCCUUCGGGUUGUAAACUGCUUUUGUACGGAACGAAACGGCCUGGGUUAAUACCCUGGGCUAAUGACGGUACCGUAAGAAUAAGCACCGGCUAACUACGUGCCAGCCGCCGCCGUAA
rnacentral:rRNA from 1 species